rnacentral:misc_RNA from 1 species
UAGCCCCAAUACUUGAAAAUCCAAGAAAUUCAACACAUAAUUAUGGCAUUGUUUGGCAUCAUAUGAGCAUUAUGGUUUCUAUAGACAGAAUUGUGGUUAUAGAUAUAGAUAAAACAGGAUUUUCCUCUCCUCAAUUUAUAAUAAGCUGUUGUUUGCAACUAGGGAUAAAAAUACACUAAGGUAAGAAAAAAUUAUGACAAUACCACUUGA